rnacentral:rRNA from 1 species
GACAGAGGAUGCAAGCGUUAUCCGGAAUGAUUGGGCGUAAAGCGUCUGUAGGUGGCUUUUUAAGUCCGCCGUCAAAUCCCAGGGCUCAACCCUGGACAGGCGGUGGAAACUACCAAGCUGGAGUACGGUAGGGGCAGAGGGAAUUUCCGGUGGAGCGGUGAAUGCGUAGAGAUCGGAAAGAACACCAACGGCGAAGACACUCGCUGGGCCGACACUGACACUGAGAGACGAAAGCUAGGGGAGCGAAUGGG